GAGUUUGAUCGUGGCUCAGGACGAACGCUGGCGGCGUGCCUAAUACAUGCAAGUCGAGCGAACUCUUCGGAGUGAGCGGCGGACGGGUGAGUAACGCGUGGGUAACCUGCCCUGUACACAUGGAUAACAUACCGAAAGGUAUGCUAAUACAAGAUAAAAUAUAUUUAUCGCAUGAUAGAUAUAUCAAAGCGUUAGCGGUACAGGAUGGACCCGCGUCUGAUUAGCUAGUUGGUAAGGUAAAGGCUUACCAAGGCGACGAUGCAUAGCCGAGUUGAGAGACUGAUCGGCCACAUU
rnacentral:rRNA from 1 species